rnacentral:misc_RNA from 1 species
AAAGUCGUAACAAGGUUUCCGUAGGUGAACCUGCGGAAGGAUCAUUAUUAAUACUUGGUUAACACCAGUUAUUCAUGUGCAAACAUCUGCCAGUACUUGCCCUGGUGUCGGCCCUCGGGCAGGCAUUAGGCGUCAUAACUGGCAGUAGCCCUCAUUGACUUGUCAUUUGGGGGCAACCAGGCCUUCCUCAAGCUCUUGGGUAAGAGGAAGCCUGUAACUUUUAUACAUCAGUCUUGAAAUCCGUCAUCAGGGAGUAGCUGCAAGGCACUACCUGCUCUGACAAUGAAAGGGUAAAAAACUUUUAGCAACGGAUCUCUAGGCUCUC